rnacentral:rRNA from 1 species
CCUACGGGAGGCAGCAGUGAGGAAUAUUGGGCAAUGGAGGCAACUCUGACCCAGCCAUGCCGCGUGAGUGAAGAAGGUUUUCGGAUUGUAAAGCUCUUUCGGAUGUGACGAUGAUGACGGUAGCAUCUAAAGAAGCCCCGGCUAACUUCGUGCCAGCAGCCGCGGUAAUACGAAGGGGGCAAGCGUUAUCCGGAUUUAUUGGGUUUAAAGGGUGCGUAGGCGGUCGGAUAAGUUAGAGGUGAAAUCCCGAGGCUCAACUUCGGAAUUGCCUCUGAUACUGUUCGGCUAGAGAGUAGUUGCGGUAGGCGGAAUGUAUGGUGUAGCGGUGAAAUGCUUAGAGAUCAUACAGAACACCGAUUGCGAAGGCAGCUUACCAAGCUACUUCUGACGUUGAGGCACGAAAGCGUGGGGAGCAAACAGGAUUAGAUACCCUUGUAGUC